GUUUUUUUCUCUCUCUUCUUUCUUUUCUCUCUCAUUCGAUCUCUUUUUUCUCAGCAUCUCUCAUCUAUGCCCCAUCUCAUCCUUCACCCUAACAUCCAUCACAACCUCCACCAAGAUCAACUCAAAAUUCACAUGCAAGUGUAGAUUUGUAAUCCUUGAGUCUUGGGCUUUCAAGGAAGGAUCAAGAAGCCAUGGUUAAGGGAUUUGGAGCAAUUUAGAAGAAGAUUGAUGAAACCCGUGUUCCUAGACAGGGCUUCCCUAAAACGGUCAGUACUCUCUCCUCGUAGCUCUGAUUUAAAUUUCGUUUGUUGCUAUGGAAAGCUAACGAAAUUCCCGUCAUUUUGGGUACAAGUUUCGCUAUUUUUGGAUCAGUAUUGAUGUCUGAACAUGCUUCUGAAGUUGAGGGUUGAAGCUGUCAAAAUGGUGUUUUGAGGGCUGCGGGUUUGGGUACACAAACGGUGCAAAUGGAUGAUUUUAGGCUUGCGGAACAACGUGGUACGGCUGUUGAAUCAGGGAAUUCAUCAGCUUCUUUCUAUAAUUGAUGCUUUACAUCCACCAUUGCUAAAUGGUUUGCAGUUUGUGGAAGAUGCUCAACGGAAUGAGCAUGUAUUGUCAACUGGUUGUUAAGGGGCUAAAAGGAACCAGCAAUGGUCUACGCGGUUUAGGGCAGCUAAAGAUAUGCAUCUGAUGCGGUUGUUUCAACAAUAUGCUAUUGUUAGGCAAUACUAAGGCUGGAUUGGUGGGAAAAACAAGUCUGUUACUGAGUGAAAAGGAGGGUUUAGAGCAAAAAGUAAAGAUUCUGGAAAGCAAUUUGAGUUCUUUUAGUGAGAAAGAGAAAAAAGAAGUAUCUGGAUUUGAAUAGAACAGUUUUUGGUGAAUGUGAAGAUGGCUAUUGUGCACUAUCAAAAUUUGUUAUCUUUCUCGCUUUCUUUUGGCAUACCUGGCAACGGGAAUGAAUGACAUGGAGCACACACAACAACGAUAGCAGCCUCCGAUGUAGAGGUUUGUGUAUCUCAUCUCAGCUCCAUAGAAUAUUUCUGGUUCUACUUUAGCUAGAUCUAUCCAUUUUGCUUAGAUAAAGGGUGGAUUUUGAUCUAGCUUGAAGGUUUUGAUCAUCUGUUAUAAGAGAGAGUUCCGACCGAGAGAGUUGCGGUGCUUGGCGAUGGAGGUGAUGAAGCCUUUUUCUCCUUCUUUCCUCCGGUUCGAUCCUUCAUUCGGAUGAUCAUCAACAAUCUAUUGAAGAAGAGAAGGCUUGAUUUGUGGUAUUUCUUUGAUGUUAAUACUCCCAAGAUGAAAAGAGAUCUCAUGAAGCAGCUUUGGCGAAGUGCAAGGAGUUAGAAGAACAAUUGCAAAGAUAUGAACCAUCGUUACAAAUUGCAUCCUGAUGUUCGUCCUUACGCAAUGAUGACCAGGACAGGAUAUAUGGAGUAUGAUCCCAUGAAGCCCCGAGGAAAGCUUCCAUAAAUCUAUGCACGUUCCAUUGGUCAAUACAUGUGAUACGGUUUUUUUGGAGGAUGUUAACAAGAAUCAGAUUCAAGUUGGUGUGCACAAAAAGAGUUCUUCAAAAAUUUAUUUUACUGAUGGCUGGUCAAUACAUAGGUGAUACGGUUUUUCUGGCCAGUGGCGUGAUAUUUGCAAAGUCCACCAUUUGGCUGAGGGUGUAACUGUGAGCUUUGGUGUCACUCAAGCAUCCAACAACAGGAUCAUAUACUACAAGCUAUCCCCUUACAUUGGCAUACGAACUACUCUCAUUGCUCCUUCAACAUCCAGCAAGCGGAAGAAAUUUUAUGAGACUCAGCAUUUCUAUAUGCUCUAGGAUCCCUACUAUCUUGCUUUAGAACUAUCUUGCUUUUAUUUAUAUCUGAACCUAUGUUGUAAUAUCUCUGCCAAACUUGAUUUUCAUGCUUUUAGGCUUGGCCAUUUUGAGCUUGUGAUGUGCUUGCUCUAUUUUGCUUUAGAACUAUGUUGAUUUUCAUGCUUAAGAGCUUGGCCAUUUCGAACUUGUGUUGUAAUAUUUCUACAAGACUUUAUUUCCCUGCUUUUCAUAGUGCUUGCCCCAAUGCUUGCUCUUUUAUGAUUGA